ACGUAGGUCACAAGCGUUGUCCGGAAUUACUGGGUGUAAAGGGAGCGCAGGCGGGAAGACAAGUUGGGAGUGAAAUCUAUGGGCUUAACCCAUAAACUGCUUUCAAAACUGUUUUUCUUGAGUAGUGCAGAGGUAGGCGGAAUUCCCGGUGUAGCGGUGGAAUGCGUAGAUAUCGGGAGGAACACCAGUGGCGAAGGCGGCCUACUGGGCACCAACUGACGCUGAGGCUCGAAAGUGUGGGUAGCAAACAG
rnacentral:rRNA from 1 species